rnacentral:rRNA from 1 species
AUUGAACGCUGGCGGCAUGCUUUACACAUGCAAGUCGAACGGCAGCGGGGGCUUCGGCCUGCCGGCGAGUGGCGAACGGGUGAGUAAUGCAUCGGAACGUGCCCAGUCAUGGGGGAUAACUACGCGAAAGCGUAGCUAAUACCGCAUACGCCCUGAGGGGGAAAGCGGGGGAUCGCAAGACCUCGCGUGAUUGGAGCGGCCGAUGUCGGAUUAGCUAGUUGGUGGGGUAAAGGCCUACCAAGGCGACGAUCCGUAGCGGGUCUGAGAGGAUGAUCCGCCACACUGGGACUGAGACACGGCCCAGACUCCUACGGGAGGCAGCAGUGGGGAAUUUUGGACAAUGGGGGCAACCCUGAUCCAGCCAUGCCGCGUGAGUGAAGAAGGCC